rnacentral:rRNA from 1 species
UGAGGAAUAUUGGUCAAUGGGCGGAAGCCUGAACCAGCCAAGUAGCGUGCAGGACGACGGCCCUAUGGGUUGUAAACUGCUUUUAUGCGGGGAUAAAGUGGGCCACGUGUGGCCUUUUGCAGGUACCGCAUGAAUAAGGACCGGCUAAUUCCGUGCCAGCAGCCGCGGUAAUACGGAAGGUCCGGGCGUUAUCCGGAUUUAUUGGGUUUAAAGGGAGCGCAGGCCGCCGGGCAAGCGUGUUGUGAAAUGCAGUCGCUCAACGUCUGCACUGCAGCGCGAACUGCCCAGCUUGAGUGCGCGCAACGUUGGCGGAAUUCGCCGUGUAGCGGUGAAAUGCUUAGAUAUGGCGAAGAACUCCGAUUGCGAAGGCAGCUGACGGGUGCGUAACUGACGCUCAUGCUCGAAAGUGCGGGUAUCGAACAGG